rnacentral:rRNA from 1 species
GACGAACGCUGGCGGCGUGCCUGACACAUGCAAGUCGGACGGUUCUUGUACCUUCAAGCUUGCUUGUUGGUGCAAGGAUAGUGGCGGACGGGUGAGUAACGCGUGAACAUCUACCCAUUGGAGGGGGACAACCCGUCGAAAGGCGGGCUAAUACCGCGUAAGCCGCGAGGUGAGAGGCUGCCUAUUGGUGGCCGCCGAUGGAUGGGUUCGCGUCCUAUCAGCUAGUUGGUGAGGUAACGGCCCACCAAGGCGACGACGGGUAGCGGGACUGAGAGGUUGACCCGCCACAUCGGGACUGAGACACUGCCCGGACCUCCACGGAGGGCUGCAGUAACGAAUAUUGGGCAAUGGGCGAAAGCCUGACCCAGCAACGCCGCGUGCAGGACGAAGCCCCUCGGGGUGUAAACUGCUGUCAGGGGCAAGAAAGCCGCAAGGUUGAUCAGCCCCGGAGGAAGUCACGGCUAACUUCGUG